UAUUAGCCACCAUAGUUAUGUGUAUGUUGUUUGGACGCAUUGACUUCCCAUACUUUGUAUUGCCAUCUACUGCGCAUGUGUGAAAUGUUACCUGGAAUGUCUAUCUCUUCCCCACGUUGUUAAUGGCGGAACUCGACGGUCGAAUACAUAAUAGAAAACGCGUGUGUGUGCCUCGUCAUUCAAGACACAACAUCUGGCGACGAGUAAAAGUCGAUUUUAGGGUAGUAGGCAGAACUCUAAUGUGUGGUGAGGUAAGAUGGCUUACUUUUCUCAAAGACCGGACGAGUUUAAACCCGAGAAUGAAUCGUGGUCUGCCUAUGUGGAGCGCAUGGAACUGCUGUUCGAGGCGCAUGCUGUCAACGACGACAAGAAAGUUGCCGUUUUACUGAGCUACUUGGGCGCAUCAGCGUAUGGACUUCGCCGUAAUUUAGUGCAACCUGCCAAGCCCAGAGACAAGACUUUUGCGGAAAUUGUUUCCACGUUGAGGAAUUACUAUGAGCCCAAGCCAUUGGUGAUAUCGGAGCGUUUCAGAUACCGGAAAUGUGUGCAGAAGAACAGCCAGACGGUUACUGAAUUUGCCGCUGAGCUACGUCAACUCGCUACAAGGUGUGAUUUCGGGGACUGACUGGACGAGGCUCUACGUGAUGGCUUCGUCAGCGGUGUUGCUUUGGAGGCUUUGCAACGCAAGUUACUCUCAGAGGAUGGCCUGUCGUUUGCAAGAGCCGUGGAGCUUGCUGUCAACAUGGAGACUGCCCACCGUGAUGCACAGCAGUUGAGGAAAGUAUUUUCCAAAGGAUAAUGGAGAAUCUAAUGAAAGACCUCAACGUGGUGGUCUACAUCGAUGACUUGCUCGUGAUGGACCGAGACGAAUCUGAGCACUUAACGAACCUGGACA